rnacentral:misc_RNA from 1 species
AAGACUAUAGACCUGCGGAGUACCUGCGGAGGGAUCAUUACCGAGUUUACAACUCCCAAACCCAAUGUGAACGUUACCAAACUGUUGCCUCGGCGGGAUCUCUGCCCCGGGUGCGUCGCAGCCCCGGACCAAGGCGCCCGCCGGAGGACCAACCAAAACUCUUUUGUAUACCCCCUCGCGGGUUUUUAUAUAUCUGAGCCAUCUCGGCGCCUCUCGUAGGCGUUUCGAAAAUGAAUCAAA